rnacentral:tRNA from 1 species
GAGACUUUAGUUUAACUGGUAAAACAUGCGACUUUUAAUCGCUAAAAUAUGGGUCCGAAUCCCAUAGGUCUUA